UGGGGAAUUGUUCGCAAUGGGCGCAAGCCUGACGACGCAACGCCGCGUGGAGGAUGAAGGUCUUCGGAUUGUAAACUCCUGUUGCCCGGGACGAAUAGCUUCGACCUAAUACGUCGGAGUAUGACGGUACCGGGUGAGGAAGCCCCGGCUAACUCUGUGCCAGCAGCCGCGGUAAUACAGAGGGGGCAAGCGUUGUUCGGAAUUACUGGGCGUAAAGGGCGCGUAGGCGGCCUGUUAAGUCGAACGUGAAAUCCCUGGGCUUAACCCAGGAACUGCGUCCGAUACUGGCUGGCUUGAAUCCGGGAGAGGGAUGCGGAAUUCCAGGUGUAGCGGUGAAAUGCGUAGAGAUCGGGAGGAACAUCCGUGGCGAAGGCGGCUCUCUGGACCAGCACUGACGUUGAGGCACGAAAGCGUGGGGAGCAAACAGGAUUAGAUACCCCCGUAGUCCCUGAGCGGGCUGGCAAGGCGCAU
rnacentral:rRNA from 1 species